GACGAACCGUACGAACGUUAUUCGGAAUUACUGGGCUUAAAGGGUGCGUAGGCUGCGCGGAAAGUUGGGUGUGAAAUCCCUCGGCUCAACCGAGGAACUGCGCCCAAAACUACCGUGCUCGAGGGAGACAGAGGUGAGCGGAACUUAGGGUGGAGCGGUGAAAUGCGUUGAUAUCCUAAGGAACACCCGUGGCGAAAGCGGCUCACUGGGUCUCUUCUGACGCCGAGGCACGAAAGCUAGGGUAGCGAACGGG
rnacentral:rRNA from 1 species